rnacentral:rRNA from 1 species
GACGAACGCUGGCGGCGUGCCUAAUACAUGCAAGUAGAACGCUGAAGGAGGAGCUUGCUUCUCUGGAUGAGUUGCGAACGGGUGAGUAACGCGUAGGUAACCUGCCUGGUAGCGGGGGAUAACUAUUGGAAACGAUAGCUAAUACCGCAUAAGAGUAGAUGUUGCAUGACAUUUGCUUAAAUGGUGCAAUUGCAUCACUACCAGAUGGACCUGCGUUGUAUUAGCUAGUUGGUGAGGUAACGGCUCACCAAGGCGACGAUACAUAGCCGACCUGAGAGGGUGAUCGGCCACACUGGGACUGAGACACGGCCCAGACUCCUACGGGAGGCAGCAGUAGGGAAUCUUCGGCAAUGGACGGAAGUCUGACCGAGCAACGCCGCGUGAGUGAAGAAGGUUUUCGGAUCGUAAAGCUCUGUUGUAAGAGAAGAACGAGUGUGAGAGUGGAAAGUUCACACUGUGACGGUAUCUUACCAGAAAGGGACGGCUAACUACGUG